AGCUUAUAUUCAAAGUGGAUAGGGUCCGUGAUUCCUAACAAAGAAGCAAAUUCUGUUAAUUCAAAUGGGAACUUACAUCAAUCACUGAUGCUGCCACCUUUGAGGAAUAUUAUAUAUUUUCCCCCUUGUCACAGAGAAACGUCGAGGAACCUACUUGACCGUGGACACGAGAAAUAUCCGGUCCCAUAUCGAGAAAUUCUGAUUUGGAAUUCGGAUUCAACACUUGAUGGCUUGCAUCUCUUGCGAUAUGGUCACUCAUUGUUUCUAAAAGUGAAAACUAUCCCUACAGAUCAACUCGAGUUAUUUUAGCAUGGUUAGUGGUGGCUUGCAUCUCUUGCGAUAUGGUCACUCAUCGUUUCUAAAAGUGAAGACUAUCCCUACAGAUCAACUCGAGUUAUUUUAGCAUGGUUAGUGAUGGCUUGAAUCUCUUGCGAUAUGGUCACUCAUCGUUUCUAAAAGUGAAGACUAUCCCUACAAAUCAACUCGAGUUAUUUCAGCAUGGUUAGUCUUUACUUACAUGCAUUUUAGGAAAAUUCCUAAGAGGUCACCAAACAUAAAAUUUCUCUAAACGAAGCACGUUUAACCAUGGAAUUCUUAUGAUUAAGCCACCAAAAAGGAAGGUGCACGAUGUUGGUAUAGGUAGUGACUUUCAAUUCUUCUAAGCAUUUCUUAGUCAUUAUAUCAUCAUGAUCGCUCUCGUUCGAAUGUGGUUUCAAUUCAUUCAUAUACUCCUCUUUUAUUCAACUGUCACACUUCAAAUGCAUUUUGAACGAGUAUUAAUAUCAUUGUUAUGUUUAUAUGAAUCCGGAGU